AAUUUGACCAAAGCGGAGCAGAGCAAGACAGAAGGGACUGUGGGUGCAGGCAACUUUCCUUUAAAGGAGCUCUGAGCCAGACAAUGACCUAUGCCUCUACCUUAUGGACUUCAACAUGGCAUCAUACAUCAAGUAUUUGCUUUAAACAGUGUUGGGGACAUGGAGCAUAAACAUCUCCAUUGCCUAAGAGUGGGCCGUGCGGUGACUUCUUCCAAAGUGUGAAGUAGGGAAAAGAGCUUUACAGUGGAGAAACCUGAUGCUGCUUCAGCCAAGUAGUGACCAGUGUCAACAUCGACAGUGAGAAAUAGUUUGGAUGGGAUAGAACAAAGUUCAAUGGAAUGGAAGCAGAAGUUUCAAUCAAGGAUGUAAUUGCUGAAGUUGGGAUGUAUAAUACA